CCCUUAGAUGUCCUGGGCUGCACGCGCGCUACACUGACGGAGCCAACGAGUACUUUCCUUGUCCGGAAGGACUGGGUAAUCUUGUGAAACUUCGUCGUGCUGGGGAUAGAGCAUUGCAAUUAUUGCUCUUCAACGAGGAAUUCCUAGUAAGCGUGAGUCAUCAGCUCGCGUUGAUUACGUCCCUGCCCUUUGUACACACCGCCCGUCGCUACUACCGAUUGAAUGGCUUAGUGAGCCUUUGGGAUUGGCAGCUUGUACCGGCAACGGUAGCAGGCCGCUGAAAACUUAGGCAAACUUGGUCAUUUAGAGGAAGUAAAAGUCGUAACA
rnacentral:rRNA from 1 species